rnacentral:rRNA from 1 species
AUCCUACGGGACGCAGCAGUGGGGAAUAUUGCACAAUGGGCGCAAGCCUGAUGCAGCAACGCCGCGUGAGCGAAGAAGGUCUUCGGAUCGUAAAGCUCUGUCCUUGAGGAAGAAGGAAGUGACGGUACUCAAGGAGGAAGCCCCGGCUAACUACGUGCCAGCAGCCGCGGUAAUACGUAGGGAGCGAGCGUUAUCCGGAUUUAUUGGGUGUAAAGGGUGCGUAGAUGGAUAAACAAGUUGGUUGUGAAAUCCCUCGGCUUAACUGAGGAAUUGCAACCAAAACUGUAGAUCUUGAGUACUGGAGG